CCCUUAGUAAUGGCGAAUGAAACGGGAACAGCCCAUCGCGUAACUGCAGGUCAUCUUGGCCUUGUGGAAUGUCGCGUUUGGGAGAGUCUCAUCUGGAGCCAGACUGCCAGUCAAAGUCCAACUUGACAGUGGCCACAGCCCAUAGAGGGUGAUAGGCCCGUAAGGCGGUGGUCUGCUCCAGCUGACUUUUCCCCAGAGUCGGGUUGCUUGGGAGUGCAGCCCAAAGUGCGAGGUAAACUCCUCGUAAGGCUAAAUAUAACCCUGAGACCGAUAGCAAACAAGUACCGUGAGGGAAGAUUGAAAAGAACUUUGAAGAGAGAGUUCAAUAGUACGUGAAACUGUGUGGUGGUAAACAGAGGGGUUCUUGAAGUUUCUGUAGGGAACUCAACCUUGGUGUUUGGCAGUCAGAAAAUAUGCCGAUCAGCAAUGACGGUACGAUCUGACAGGCUUGACUCUCGGGUGCAUUUCCCCUACAGUUUACGGCAGGAACUGUUUGAAUUGGACCGAAGGCCUUGGGUGAAGUUGUUACUUUUGGUACCAGCCCCAAGUGUCCUGGCUCUGGAUCAAACAGGUACGUGAGAGGACUUGUAUAGCGAGCAAUGCUCUGUUGCUGUUCUCAUCUCUCUGCCGAGUAGGUCAGUGGCCCCUCUGACCCGUCUUGAAACACGGACCAAGGAGUCUAACAUGUAUGCGAGCCAUUGGGUUGACUAAACCUAGAGGCGCAGUGAAAGCAAAGAGUAGCCUGUCUGCUCGAGGGACGAUCCGCAAGGCGCAGUCCCGUGACUUCCAAUCAACCUCGCAUUGUUGGGAGUACACAGAGCAU
rnacentral:rRNA from 1 species